ensembl:snRNA U7 U7 small nuclear RNA
UAGUGUUACAGCUCUUUUAGAAUUUGUCUAGCAGGUGUUCUGGUCUCUACCAAAAGACCCCU